rnacentral:tRNA from 1 species
GGAUAUAGCUCAGUUGGUAGAGUGCUUGCCUCACAUGCAUAAGCAUAAGGCCCUGGGUUCAAUCCCCAGCACCA